rnacentral:rRNA from 1 species
ACCGCUGAAAGCAUCUAAGCGGGAAGCGAGCCCUGAGAUGAGUCAUCCCUGACCCCUUGAGGGUCCUAAAGGGCCGUUGGAGACCACAACGUUGAUAGGCGGGGUGUGUAAGUGCAGCGAUGCAUUGAGCUAACCCGUACUAAUUACCCGUGAGGCUUAACCAUACAACACCCAAGAAGUGUUC